rnacentral:rRNA from 1 species
UACGUAGGGUGCAAGCGUUGUCCGGAAUUAUUGGGCGUAAAGAGCUCGUAGGCGGUCUGUUGCGUCGGCUGUGAAAACCCGGGGCUCAACCCCGGGCCUGCAGUCGAUACGGGCAGACUAGAGUGCGGUAGGGGAGACUGGAAUUCCUGGUGUAGCGGUGAAAUGCGCAGAUAUCAGGAAGAACAUCAAUGGCGAAAGCAGCUUUCUGGGACGGUACUGACGCUGAGACGCGAAAGCUAGGGGAGCAAACAGG